rnacentral:rRNA from 1 species
GACAGAGGUGCCGAGCGUUGUCCGGAUUUAUUGGGCGUAAAGAGCUCGUAGGCGGUUUGUCGCGUCUGCCGUGAAAGUCCGGGGCUCAACUCCGGAUCUGCGGUGGGUACGGGCAGACUAGAGUGAUGUAGGGGAGACUGGAAUUCCUGGUGUAGCGGUGAAAUGCGCAGAUAUCAGGAGGAACACCGAUGGCGAAGGCAGGUCUCUGGGCAUUAACUGACGCUGAGGAGCGAAAGCAUGGGGAGCGAACAGG